AACCAAAGUGUUGAGCCUAGUUCAGGGCUGCUUCCCUGCACUUGCAAUUAAACUUUGGGACAGUAAGUUAUGGGCUGGGAGAGAUCAUUGAGCAGAAGAUAUUUCUCUGUUCAUUUCCCUCCUGGCCUGUAAAA
ensembl:snoRNA